AAAAAGGGCAGUUUUUAGGAUUGUAUCCCAAAAAGUGGUUUCAAGGGACCCCAAAAAGGGCGGUUUUUAGGAUUCUACCCCAAAAAGUGGUUUCAAGGGACCCCAAAAAGGGCGGUUUUUCGGAUUCUACCCCAAAAAGUGGUUUCAAGGGACCCCAAAAAGGGCAGUUUUUAGGAUUGUACCCCAAAAAUUGGUUUUGAGGGCCCCCAAAAGGGCGUUUUUAGGGGAUUCCCAAUAAAGUGGUUUCAAGGAACCCCAAAAAGGGCGGGUUUGGGGGAUUCCUCCCAAAAAUUGGUUUCAAGGGACCCCAAAAAGGGCUUUUUGGGGGGAUUCCCAAUAAAGUGGUUUCAAGGCACCCCAAAAAGGGCAGUUUUUAGGAUUGUACCCCAAAAAUGUGGUUUUGAGGGCCCCCAAAAGGGCAGUUUUUAGGAUUGUACCCCCCAAAAAUUGGUUUCAAGGGCCCCCCAAAAGGGCACUUUUGGGGUUUCCCAUUGUUUUGGGGUUUCCCAUUCUCUUGGGGUUUCCCCCCCGUUCGGGGCUCCCGACCCCCCCCUGAGCCCCCCCCUCCCCCC
rnacentral:lncRNA from 1 species